CCCUAGCAACCCCCGGCCGCCUCUCUCUCCCCCUUUCCCUCCCUCUCCGCCGCCGCCUCCCUCUCCCCGAUCCAGAAUCCAGAUCGACGACGACGUCCCUCCGUCGCCGCCACCUCUUUCCCCAUCCCAGUCGCAGCGCUCACCAUCCCGCCCCCACCCCGCCAAACUUCCUCUCCUCCUCCUCUCCCGAUUCCCCAACCCAAGCCCCAACCUCGCCGCCUACCAACUCCUCUCCCCCAACCCCGCCGCCGCCGGCCUCUUCUUCUCCAACCCCGGGCUCUCUCCCAUCGGUGCACCGCUGCCGCCCCCACCCUCUCCCCUUCCCAAGCUGCUCAGGCGGCGCCCAGAUCCGCCACCGCUGUCCUCUACAACCACGCCCACCCAGCGGCAGAUGAAGGAGGAGUUAGGGGCGGAGCGGCGGGGCCCUUCCUCCGCCUCCGCGGUCCAUGGCGUCUGCGUGCCAUUCCUCCGCCUCUACCUCGCCGACCUCGCCGCCUCGGUCGCCGUCGCAUCCGCCACCGACCAGAGGAACGACACCUGCGGCGAACCUGGGUGAGUCCAUCUUCGACAGUAGGUGGUCCCCUCCUCGCUGGUGGAGAUCGCCCCCAUCCUUCGCGUCGCAAACGAGGUGGAGGCCAGCAACCCACGAGUCGCAUACCUAUGUCGGUUCUACGCCUUCGAGAAGGCCCAUCGCCUCGACCACACCUCCAGCGUCGCUGGAGUUCACCUUGUCGGCCGACGACUAAAGGCUCAUGGAGGAGGUCUGCUUCGGCGCCAACGCUGUCGUGUACCGCGCCAUCUUCCUCCCGGCCAACCGGACCAUCGUCGUCAAGUGCCUUGAUCUUGAUUGACUCAACAGUAACCUGCCGCUGGCCUUGUCCUCCUCGAGGAGGAGGAGCGGGAGGGGCGCACCCAGCCACCACGGUCGCCGUCGUUAAGUGCUUCUUCCACCUGGAGCUCGAAAUCCACGACGUCGUCGUCCAGCCACCCAAGGUGAAGGUGACCCCAACUACCCUCCGUCCAGCCCGAAACGGAAUCACAUGGUGGGAGCGGAAACAGAAUUGUUGGGUGGUUGGUUGGUAUCUAUACUUUGGUUAAUUAGUUAGCAUGCUUUCUCAGUCCGUUUGCCGGCAUGCAAAAGAUGCAUGCACAUGUACCUACAUACCAGAGUAGACCAUCUAUAUAGUCCCUAGCCAUGUUGAUAAGAUUUUUUUUAUGAAAGAAAUCAAAUCAGAUAAUAUACGUACAAUUAUUAUGCACAUACGUAUGGUGACUGCUGAUUGAUUAUUUUUGUGUUCUUGUGAAUCCCAUCUUUAUUGACUAGCAGCACUCACACUUCGUAUUACAAAUCCGCCAUGCAUACAAUCCAAUUAUAUCAACAUGUAGUUGCUUUGUAUAUCCUGUAAAUAAUUUCUUUGCACGCCCAUUCUGCCAUGUCAACGAUGAUGAUUUAAUUAUGUUUUUUUGCCAAUGGAUGAAUUCACAUAAUGUGACGGACCUGCUGCUGUCGGCUGUCUUCCCCGACCACUCCCGUGAGCUGCUCCUGCCGCUGACCCUCCUCAACUUCGCCCGUUGCCCGCUGUUGCUGCUGGGAUCUCUGCAUCCGAGUCCCAGCCGUCCUCCGCAGCAAGGAGCUGGGCCAAGGGAGCAAGCAGUGCCGCUGGUUCCUUCGAGGAUGCGUGCUACUGGUCGAGUCUUGUGGAGAAGCAAGGCGAAUCGGGCAUCAUCUCACUUGUGCCGCUGUGGGUGACAGAGGAAGCCAUGUUGCUGUUUUGUUUGUUCCCAGCCUUGACUAUGGUCGUCCAGCGAGUUCGGCAUGUUGUCAUUUCUUGUAAAGCAGUAUUGUAUCACACUUGUAGAGCUCGUUACACAUGUAGAGCUUGUAAAGUACUGUAUUACACAUGGUCAUAUGUAUUGGCAACGUGAUCUAGUUGCUCUUAUUUGAA